UACGUAGGGGGCAAGCGUUGUCCGGAAUCAUUGGGCGUAAAGAGCGUGUAGGCGGCUUGGUAAGUCCGCUGUGAAAGUCCAGGGCUCAACCCUGGAAUGCCGGUGGAAACUGCCAAGCUUGAGUCCGGAAGAGGCGAGUGGAAUUCCUGGUGUAGCGGUGAAAUGCGCAGAUAUCAGGAGGAACACCAAUGGCGAAGGCAGCUCGCUGGGACGGUACUGACGCUGAGACGCGAAAGCGUGGGGAGCAAACAGG
rnacentral:rRNA from 1 species